rnacentral:rRNA from 1 species
AAAAAAGGUAAGCUACUAAGAGCGAAUGGUGGAUGCCUUGACUGGUAAAGGCGAUGAAGGACGUACUAGACUGCGAUAAGCUACGGGGAGCUGUCAAGAAGCUUUGAUCCGUAGAUUUCCGAAUGGGGCAACCCAAUGUAUAGAGAUAUACAUUACCUAUAUAGGAGCGAACGAGGGGAAUUGAAACAUCUUAGUACCCUCAGGAAAAGAAAUCAAUAGAGAUUGCGUCAGUAGCGGCGAGCGAAAGCGCAAGAGGGCAAACCCAGUGCUUGCACUGGGGGUUGUAGGACUGCAAUGUGCAAGAGGUAAGUUUAGCAGAACAUUCUGGAAAGUAUAACCAUAGAGGGUGAUAGUCCCGUAUGCGAAAAACAAACCUUAGCUAGCAGUAUCCUGAGUAGGGCGGGACACGAGAAAUCCUGUCUGAAGCUGGGUCGACCACGAUCCAACCCUAAAUACUAAUACCAGAUCGAUAGUGCACAAGUACCGUGAGGGAAAGGUGAAAAGAACUGAGGUGAUCAGAGUGAAAUAGAACCUGAAACCAUUUGCUUACAAUCAUUCAGAGCCCUAUGUAGCAAUACAGGGUGAUGGACUGCCUUUUGCAUAAUGAGCCUGCGAGUUGUGGUGUCUGGCAAGGUUAAGCAAACGCGAAGCCGUAGCGAAAGCGAGUCUGAAUAGGGCGCUUAGUCAGAUGCUGCAGACCCGAAACGAAGUGAUCUAUCCAUGAGCAAGUUGAAGCUAGUGUAAGAACUAGUGGAGGACUGAACCCAUAGGCGUUGAAAAGCCCCGGGAUGACUUGUGGAUAGGGGUGAAAGGCCAAUCAAACUUCGUGAUAGCUGGUUCUCUCCGAAAUAUAUUUAGGUAUAGCGUUGUGUCGUAAUAUAAGGGGGUAGAGCACUGAAUGGGCUAGGGCAUACACCAAUGUACCAAACCCUAUCAAACUCCGAAUACCUUAUAUGUAAUCACAGCAGUCAGGCGGCGAGUGAUAAAAUCCGUCGUCAAGAGGGAAACAACCCAGACUACCAGCUAAGGUCCCUAAAUCUUACUUAAGUGGAAAACGAUGUGAAGUUACUUAAACAACCAGGAGGUUGGCUUAGAAGCAGCCAUCCUUUAAAGAAAGCGUAAUAGCUCACUGGUCUAGUGAUUUUGCGCGGAAAAUAUAACGGGGCUAAAGU